GCUUAGACGUUUUAUAGCGUAGUAGCUCCACAUCGAUCCAUUUCGAACUCGAUAGUGAAAGAUUAUAGCGGUGACGAUACUUAGAGGGGGGCCUCUUGGGAAAAUAACACAAUGUCUAAGUCGUCUUUAUAAACUAAUGUAAA
rnacentral:rRNA from 1 species